GUAAUCUUACAGUGUACACAAUAAAAGAAUGGUCUGCUCUUUAAAAUGAAUGCUAACCUUUCUCUAAACUGGAUUUCCAGAGAGAUUGACAGGUGUUAAAAGGAAAUUUCUUCAGAUAUUAAAAAUGCAUAUCUGCCUUUUCACAGGUUUACUGAUGAUGUCCUUAGUGCUCCAAAAUACUUGUAAGGCACCUGUAAAAAAUAGUCCCAGACUGUUGUAUCUUUGACCUGUUGAAAGGUGGAGCUCACUUCCCGAACUCUUGUUUCUUUGGUUCAAGAGAUAGAUCAAGGAAGAGUAUUAAUAAUGUCUGAACCUUUAAUUUGCGGAGCUAUUCUUCUAUAGUGUGCAUUCAGUUCUCAGCAUGCUAUAUUCUUACCAUAUGUGGGCAUCUUAAACACAAGUCUCCACCUGCUGUAUGUGAAUCUCCCACUCAAAGAAAAGAAGUUCGGUAUAUGUUAACCAAUUUUGUUUUGCAGGGCUCAGCUAAAAACUGACCUUUAUACCGAGUGGUAAACCAAAUGCUCAACAUCUGUGCAUAAUCUACAUUGUAUUAGUGGUAUAUCCUCAUACAUAACAUAGUUUUAUCAUGUUUUUAUAUAUGUCUUGUCCAGAAUAUGUCUUGCUGUUUCAUUUCCUGUGCCUAGGGCCCCUGAGAAGGCUGGAGAAAUGGAGUCAGCUGGUACCAGGCUUUUUGCUUUUUGUCUUGAAGCCAGGCUAAUCUUCAAUAAGAUGGCUGGAUACCUGUUCCACAUCCCCACAACCCUCUGGGUAAAGAAGUUUAUACUGUUUUUAGUUUUGUAUUUCCAUGUAGUCUCCUCUGGUGUCAUCUGGUUUGUGUUUAUUCAGAAGACGUCCAGUGGGUUGAAAGAAGUGUCUCCUUGUCUCAAUUUUAAAUGUACUUACACAUAGUUUCUGCUUGUGUGUUCACAUUCCAAUCUUCUUUUUGAAGAAGACCACCAGAUUGACACUGUCAUCGCCUUGGAGGAAUUUAAAAACUUGUAUGAGAAGACCCAUCCAUUAAUACAAAUAGUUAUUUGUUUUUUCCUGCAAUAUGAAACUAUUUUCUUACCUAUGUCGCAAAAAAACAAAACCAACAGGACAUGCCUGAUUAGCUCACUCACAUCAGAAGUGUAAGCGCAUAAAAGCUGGAAAGUAAUUAUCUUAAUUAAUUUCAUCUCGCAUAAACUGUUUCAGCAUAAUUUCAUACCUGCAGCAAUACUUUUAAUGAGAAUACCUUUAGAGAUAGAGUAAGGUGAUUGUGAAAAUCUGAAAACAUAAUGCUCUCUCAAUUCUUUGCACAAUCAAACAGUGGUCACAUUAAAAUAUAUGACAGACUUUGAAGAGGAGAGAACAUUAUUGUUAAUUUGAUGAGCAAGCUGUUUCAGUGUGAUUGCUGGUGGAUAUAUCCUCCCUACACAUGGUGAAGUGGCCAGGGAGGGUGUGUGUUCCUUUCCAAUAAUUAAAAGAAAGAACAGUAAUGUUUUCAGGGAAACCAUCAUAUUAGCUAUCCUAAGCCAAUCCUUACAAAAAUAGCUUAAUGGUUUAUAUAGCUCUCCGCAGAAACCUAAACUAUAGGCAAUUUUUGUAAUGGAUAUAUCAGGAGGAAUACAUGCCCACCCCGGUAAUUCAUUUUUACAAGUAAAAAGAAGAACCCAUUGGGGGUGAACAUGUUUAGACAUCAGCCUGUUGUGUAUUAUAAAAGUGGAGAUAUUUAUCUGUUAAGGGAUGGAAAUGAAUUUAGUAAUUAUGCCGAAACAGAAUGAACAUCACUGUUUUCCACCCCAGUCUCUCUAAGAUACCCAAGAUUUGGAUUCCUAACUUUUUGAAUUUUUGUAUUGCUUAUGUACAGUAUGUGGAUAUAUCAAGAACCACUUUCUUUUUUCCAUUGAGAACAGUCUGUUUGAGAGCUUUUGCAACAGCUGUGAUGUUUGAGUUGUUUCCAUGUCAGACAUGUGGCUGAAAAGUGCCAGAAAACAAGCAGGACAAACGGUAAGUCAUAAAACGAGCCAUUUUGCUUUUCAGUUGAAUCAAAACCACCCUGUUCCCCCAUGUAGUCAUGUAAUGUAGUAUACAGACUAUAAAUCACAUUUUAGCGGCAGGUGCAUUUUAAACAAGCUUCGUUUUUUGAAGUUGGGGUAAACCUCUUUUCAUACAUUUUCAUAAUAUGACAAAAGUAAAACACCUCAAGAAAAUCAUCUAUCAUCUUUGCUUGGUGGUCACACUCCAACAUGGAUAAAUUAAUACCUUUAUUGGAAGACCUUAAGAUUUCAAUUUUCAAACAAUGAAAACAUUACAACAUCAUUUCAACAGAAGAAGACGAAAUGCAGGUAAUCAGCUACUCUUUCAGUGUGGCUGCCUUAGAACAUAUCAAUACCUCAUCGCACAGCUUUAAAAGACGCUACACCACAAAAAUACUGCAAAUCCUCAGUGAAUGAAACAAAAGCCCAUACACCAAAGUAACGUGUGCUGCAAACAGUUAUAAUUCGAAGGGAAAGACAUUCCUUGGUCUGCCAAAGCAGAUCAAAAUCUUACAUUCCAUACCUGUUCAGAUAAGAUUUACAAUGUACAGUAGGCUACAUCAUAAAACUUUAUAUAAUAUCUGGAUUUUGGAAAUAUGUGGUAAUAAUAAUGAUUGUACUGGUACGUUUCCAACAUCCUGUAAAUGAAACACACGAGUAUGCAGUUCAUAAAUGA